rnacentral:misc_RNA from 1 species
GGAUUUUAGUGCAUAUCUCAAAACUGAUAAGCACUCUUUCACAUCUUUCCCAACAGCAACACAAAUUACAUCUUCACUAAUAGCUCCCACAGGCUCUUCCACAAUCUCUCUGCUUGAGCUGAUCAUAAUUGGUGAAGCUUCAGCAUAAUUAAUUGGACCAGCUCGAGGUGUAGUUGCUAGCAUAGCACUCACAACCGCCAU